ensembl:lncRNA
CUGUGAUCACCUGACUAAUGUUAUGUCUCCCCACUGUUCUGCUCUCCUGACCCCAAACCCCCAAACCCCCAGCUGUUGUUGCUCAUGCAAGCUCUGAUAUCCUGACUUGUCUUUUAAACCACUUUUCAGGGGUCGUUGGUUGGUUGGUUGUGUGUUUUAUGGUCUGUGCAUAAGAUAACAGCACAGUGGUGCCUGUUGGUGUGUGAGACACUUCAUUUGACUGAGCAUGCAGUUAUUUCCCGUUUUCUCUUGUGUCUCUCAGUGACUGUCACUCCUGGCUAUUUCUGCUGCCGAGCUUAAACCGGGCCUGAGACCUGUCCAGACCCGCUGUGGACACACGGCUGAGAUGCAGCGAGACGCCCAAACGAGUGGAGACCGGAGACCCUGCAGAGGAAGGACAGAAGAGAGGCUGUGCUUUUUGCUCGCACCGACCUCAGAUCUUUCUUCAAAUACACAAUGAAAGUGUCUCCGUCACUCUGUGGAAAUGUCUUUUUUGACAGACCAGGGAGACGCGUGCCAUCGCUUAACGGAUUGGUUCAACAUUUAGGAAAAGCAGCGUGUGCCUGGAGUUCAUUUCCCCUCAUGUGAAACACCCGCACGCUGCUGUAAUCUGUUUUCUAAAAGCUUCUAGUGACUCGCUGACAUGUAGAAGAUCUUGCAAGAUCAAUGCAUCUGGAAAAAAAUAAUAAUAAUUGAAUUAACAACAUUAGAUUGUUGGACAAAGACAAGCUUCCUGACCCAGACAUCUAGAAGUGAGUCACACCGAGCGAGUGAGGAAAACCCAAAUGUUGAGCUGUUCCUUUAAAGACGCAGUCGGUGGCUUUCUAAUUGAGUGGUGCAGAAGAACCUCCGGCGGGCGGAGAACGUUUUCACUGGUGAUGAGCGGAGGAUGAGGAUCCGCGGGCUUCGCUCGGUGAACGUUCGCUGCGUAUCGAAUGCGCUUCCACUCACACGCGGUCGCUCAGCGCUCCCACCAAGAACAACUGGACCCGCCUGCACUCACCGCCCCCUGGACCCCCCCUCCAAACAUCCACCCUGCACUCUCAAAAGAAAAGUGCACGGAUGCUGACGUCUGCAGCCACGGAAGCACCGACUCUCUCCCUCCCUCUGCUCGCUGCCUG